UCAAAGCUUCUCUGGAGCAUGGAAAGGGAAAUCUUCAGCUGUGAAGAUACAAUCCACCCCCCCACCAAUUACUUAAGUCAGUCUCCUGCACGGAUCUGAUUCUCACAUAAGCUGAAGAAGAAAGCAAGCAAAGAUUGUGAACUCAACUUACUUCAAAGAGCUUUCCUCCUGAAGCUGGACAUGAUAAAGGGACUGAGCUGCAUGCUCUAUCUUUGAGAGUUUGAGGAACAGUGUUAUAUUCAGCAAGACCAAGAGCAGCAAACUGUACAUAGAAGAGAACAAAAAUCAAGUUCUGCAACAGUUUCAGUUGCAAUGCUACAAACACAAGAUCAUGGCUCAAGACAGCUAAGGAAACAGAAUCCUCCCAGCAUCCUGGGAGAAAAAAGGGUGGGGCAGCACUAUACUGAAAAUUAGUAUCUAUCUGAACAAUUCCUAGCAGUUACCAUUAAGCUGGGUAACACCAAAAAAAAAACAGUAUCUCUUCUUAGAACUUUUAAAAUUAGGAAUUAGUAGAUUUUACACUUCAUUUUUUAAUAGGAUCAGACCUUAAUAAACCUGUAAGGUAGACUAUUUUGGCAAGUCAGCAUUUUCAUCCCACGUGUCAUUUCCAAGCCAAUCCAUUCCCUUUUUAUACCCAUAUGUUCCACUCAAAUUACUUUAUCUUGCUACAUGCAAUCUUAAGAUGCAAAUAAGGAACAAAUACAGAUAAAAACCAAGAUGAGCUUGAGUCAAGCAACACUUUAAUGCAAGUGAGUACUUACAAGACACUCAUUACUACAAUGAUGGUGGUGGUCCUACUUACUGCAUCUCUUUUCCUUCCUAUAGGGCAUGGAAGAGAAGGAGGUUAAAAAGUACUAAAGAACAUUCCUAAAGGGUGUCUGCAGAUAGAUGCAUGUCAGUGCCCAGCACUGCACACAGAAUAGCUCAACUUCUGAUGGAAAAAAAAAUCAGGUCAUGUAGGUGCACAGGAUCACCUCCAACAUUCACCAAGGCAUUUUUGCAGUCAUCUCUGAGAAGCUGGCUGAACAGUCAGGCUCUUCCAUCAGAAUUCCCCCUACUCACUGUGCUGGGGAGAACACAAUUCUGGGGCAUGGUCAGUCACAUUAAACCUGCAUAGCCUGAGAAAGUCGAAGUCCAUCCAUUACUAACAAGAAUAUGUGCUACUAGUCACACACAGCAGAGACAGGCUGCAAAACUGCAAAAAAAAAGUGGCUCUCUCCUGCUCAUGCUCCUGCUCACAUUCAUCUUUCUGACAACCAGUGUCAGUCACAUUUUCCUGUAACUUGUCCCAUCCUUACUGCUUGGUUUAUCUAUUGUACUGAAAACAGCCCUUCGAGAGCCCACCUGUUAUUCAGCAGGCAUCAGGGAUCAGACACUGAGGGACAGAGUGUGCAUGUUCUCUCCAAACUGAGCACCCAGUGUGCCAACUAUCACUGUGGGCACACUGAUCUUGAAAUAGAAUUAAUUUUGCACAUCCUGCCCUGCACAAAAGACAUACAUAAAAGCUGUAGUGUACACUGAGACACACACUCAUCUGAAAAAGUGGAGCAAAAAUAAGUAAUUAGGAAGCAAUUUCAUACAGGUAAAGAGUCCUUUACACAUGCUGCUGAUCCAAAUACUCUCUCAUUGCUAUCUAGACUCAGUGUUGUCUUCCUCUUUAGGGAAGUGUACUUGCUCCUAUCUCACUGUUUACAAUUCAACUUCUGUCAUGGAAUCCACCAUUCCCUGGUGCAACAAGUGCACAGGUGUUCCUCAUAUCUCUGUGUGAAACUAAUAUUGUAUAUGCUGGUGGCCAAGUCUGUCGUGCCUAAGGGCAGUAGAACUGCAAGAAAUGCUUCAGUGACCCAGAAAUUACAGAAGCAUAUGGGAAACAGACUUCUUAACAUUAAAAAAUCAAUAACCAAAACUGAGACGACAGGGCCAAGAGGCAAGUGGCAAAGUUCAAUCAACUCAUGACCUCUGUGUGCAGUUAUCUGAAGAAAAAAAAAAACCUUUCAGAAACUCUACAAGAAUUAGUUUGGUUUUUUUUCCCUAAUCCAAUUUCAUUUUCAAACCUUUGCAGAUACAGAGCAGUAUUUAAGAUUUUGGUUGAUUUUUGUUUGUUUUAAAACUGAAGGAGAUAUUAGCCUUAAUUUCAUGAGAUACUCAUGAUAAAAGUGAUCAUGCAUGCUCCAAAUAUACUUUAUGCAAGACUGAAGAAGCUGGAACUUGUUAAAGCAUUUGCUAUCAGAGACAAGAGUAACAUAUACACAAGUGCAACUCUUGCACUAUUUUACGAGUUAUGCUUUCUUGAACAUACCUUUUGGAAAACACUUGAUAUAAAAAAUUCCUACCUAUUAAGCUGCCCUGGGACUCUACUCCCAUGUCACCAGAGGAAUGCUGGGAAGAGCGUUUGGGAAGCGAUUCUGCCAAACCCCGGUGUAAAGUGCGUCGCCUUCGUCUCAGAGCAAGUAAUUUCCCAGAGUCUUCUAUGGAUUGAUUAAUUGCAUAUUCCUCCAUUAGGAGAUCUGAUUCUGCAGUGGAAAAAAAGAUAAGGUUACCAAACUGUCAAAAAGAAAGCUGAAGACAAAUUGUGAGAUAUGCAAGGUGGCAGUGAGAGGAACAAGCACACCUUCCAAUAUAUGAGCUUAAAGCAGCUAAUUGGCAAACUACACACUGACUUCCACCCCUGUUCUGUUUUCUAGAGGGCACUUGGAACACUCUGCAGAGGUGGUGCACACUCAGCCCAGGCAGGAUUGCUCAAUGCUAUGCCAGACAGCAGUUGGAAGAGCACUGCAAGACACUGUUAGACUGAGGCUAGAAAUUGUGUUAGACUGUGAGCCUGCAGCAGUGGCUGGCCAGGCUGUGAACAGACAUUCAUGGAGCCUGCCAAGUGCCACUGCUUCUCUUCUCAUAUGCACAGUCAAGGAAAUUCUUAGAGAUAAGCACAUGCAGCUGAGAAUAACAGCUUUCCUGCUGCUCCUCAUGUUUCCUUCUGAAAGCCAUUAUGGCCAGGUACACAAGAGCCCCUUGUUAUCCACAAGGCUUCUUUCAUACCCUGGAACUGGCAGAUAGACUGAUGGCAGGAAGUUCUGUCUUUAAGACUGCUUAGGUAUUGCCUUUUUUCCAAGCCACUCUUUGAGGAGCCAGGUUUGACAGACACAAAAAUGUACAUAGCAAAGGUAGGCUCCUUACUCCAGCACAAAGAAGAAAAUGCCUCACCAAGUUGUUUGAAGUUUUCCUGUAUUCCUCCCCAGGUAUUCUUCUCAAUUACAGACUUGACAAGGCCCCAAGGCUGUUUUUUGUACUUCACUUCUGCAGAAACCCUAGAAAACAGAAUGCAAUAAUGGAGAAGUACUCUUCUAGGAGACACAGUGAUAGCAGAAAUCUCUUAUCAGAAGCAGCUUCCAGCUUAUGUCCAAAAUCUGCAGUACCAGCUGGAACUGCCAUUGCUCUCCAGCUGGGCAGCACUUUCAUUGCAAAAUGCAAGAGACAGACAGUAGCAAAGACAACAUCUCUAGCUAAAGCAUAAAAAUCUAGAUGUCCAAAUUAUGGGAAACAUUUUGGAAUGUUUUCCUUCAGGCUCAGACUACCAGAUGAUUUCUACCCUCUAAAGCAUUCUCAUUUUAACACACAUUUAAAAUAAGAUUCAGGCUUCCAGAUAAUAAAAUAAUGAUUUUUACUUUGUAUGUUUACACAUGAUAUAUUACAUUGGCUCUACAAUAGCAGAAAGUGAAAUUAUUUAUCAUAAUUCAAGUGGUCACAUCCUACCCUGAGCAAAAUUAAAAUCUGUCUUUCCAGGAGCAUGACAGAGGGGAAAAUGACAUUCCUACUGUGCAUUCCUUGCAUUUCUCAGGUAAAGCUAAUCAAUACUACUUCCAGAAUAAAAAUGAAUUGGACUAGAAUCCUUCAGAGGCAUGCUUCUAACUGAGUGAAUCCCAAAGCAAAUCAUAAAGGACAAAGUCCUUGGUUUCAGCCAAGAAGACUGACCAUCCUAGAAUACACUUUUUUCAACUUUUUAAGUAAUCUUCCAAAUCAAUGUAAGCCCACUGUGUAUGGUAUAAUAAAAUAACUCAUUUCAAAUAGAGUUUGAGCCAUUUUAAACACAGUUUACUAAGGCCACUGUAACAUCACUAUGUUCUACACAUGUAUGCUCUGUGCACCAUGUGCACCUAGGUUUUUGCUCUUAUCUUAGGGCUGUCGCAUGUCAGAAAAAAAUAAGUCUAGGUCUCAAAGAAGAACAGUGAUUCACUCAAAAAAAAAAAAAUCUAAAGCAGUCUUUCAAGGACCUUCCUUUCCUUCUCCCAGUAGAGAGGGAGUUUUCAGUAGCCUGAGAUUAGCCAGAAUAGAAUCCAGGCUUGCUAACCUUUCCUGAGUACUGAUUAAAAGUUUGAGAAAAAAGCUCUUACUAAAGACAGCACCACUUACAAUGUUUUCAACAAGUGGGAGAGGAAAUUCCAUAUCUAGACAGAGUUCACUUGAGUACCCUCCUUGCAAAAUAAAGUACAUUCUAUCUUCCCUGCACAUUCCUGUGAAAUCAUUCUCCUCUAGUAAGGAUGUCUGGGAAACCUUCUAAUAAAGCAUCUCAAUUUUUUCCAAUUUCUCCCACUCGCACAGCUGCACUCAAAAACACAAGGCUGGUCAGGAUCCAGCUCAGUCUUGGAGAUGAGUUCUAUACCUCAGAGUCAACAUCUCAGUUAAUUUCUCAUUGCAUUAAUGAGAUCCAAGCACAGCAUACAUGUGACAAGAAAUAAACUAAGCUUGUUUUUCAGUAGAGAACCCAAAAUUCUCUGUUCUGCUGGCAAAUCUCAACUGAGAACAUCCCUGCCUUGGCUUCUGCUCUCCUGCCGUGCCCCACGCAGGCUCACCGUAACCGGCACUUGUGACUGGACGUGCGGCUGAUGCAGUAUCUGUUCACAGUGUAGAAAUAAUCAUGGUAGGGGACAUCGUGGGUCAGGACCUCAGCAUCUACCUGGUAAGACUGACCUUUCUGGCUCUGCUUAUGCAGGAUCUAUUAAAAAAGAAAUAAAAUUAAGAAGGUACAUUCAUGGUACACAAAUUUCCCCCACCCCCUUUCAGCCUGAGUUCCUCAGGUUGGAUUGACCAACUCCAAGUGAACUUAAGGAGACAGAAAGCCUGAAGAAUCACUAUUAAAAAACAAUUAAGAAUAUCAAGUAUAGGUGGGGUGGGAAAAGAAAAGAUGCCUCCUGCUAAAGCCAACAUCAGCAGCAUCAGGACUUCCCCACUGACCAACCAUCAGGACACGGCUUGCAGAGAUUGGUCAGGAAAAUAAAACACUCACACCAGAAUCCAAUUACCAAUUCUCUUCAGGUAAAUAAACUUCCAUAAUGCAUUUCACUUGUGCACAAACACAGGCUCAGCAAAUGAGUAAGAAUUAUUUUGAUCAUUCUCUUCUCUGCUUCUCCCACUGCUUCUCUCAGGUUCAGAGAAUGUGAAUCCCACAUAGAACCAUGUCCAGGUGGCUUUCCAAUACCUCCAAGGAAGGAGGUACCAGAACCUCUAUGAACAACCUGUUCCACUGCUUAGUCACCCUCACAGUGAAAAAGCAUUUCCUGAUGUUCAGAAGGUAUCAUCUAUUUGUGUCCAUCCCCUCUGAUCCUGUCACUGGGCACCACUGAAGUCUUUGGCCUUGGAUGGUUAGAGCCUGACUCAGAAUUUUUUGCAUCCUCCCUCAGAUGCUUCUAUCAAUUUUAAGAUGCCCCUGAGUCUUCUCUUCUCUGGGCUGAACAUUUCCAGCUCUCAGGCAUUUCUUACAUGGAGUGCUCCAGUCCUUUCAUUGUCUUAGUGGCCCUUUGUUAGGCUCUUCACCUGUCAUACUGGGGAGCCCAGAAGUGAACACUGAAAAUCUUAAAUUGCACCUUUUCACCCCUUAGUUCCUAAGAGAUGUUAACACUUUUCCCCACGAGUUUCACGGGAGUUUACAGCCAUCUGUAAAGGUAGAAAGUCUCUCUCAUUUAAUAAGCAUUGGCUCAGUAAUGGCGAGAGACACAGCAAGCCACCUGAGAGAUGCUUUGUUUAAACUGCAGACGCAGCUCACUGAACUUGAAUCCAGUCAGAACUCUGACAGACCACAGAGCUGACCUAUCCCUUGCUUUAAAGGGCCCCAGACAGACACACACAUGCACACAGUACCUGCUUCUCCGUUGCAGUUGUGAACUUCCCACAGAGCGGAUUGUUAAUCGUUACAGUGUACGUCAAAGUCCUCAACUGAUUGCCAUUGGAGUCUCUAUUCCAAGGGGUUGAUACAGCAUCUAGAUGAGAAGUCAUGCAAUAUCUCACAUAAAAAUUACCUGUCUUAUCAUGUCUUAACAGUUUGAGAACAGAAGUAGGGGGAAAGACAGAAAACUCAUUCCAAUUAAUUGUGGGGUUUUUCCAGGAAAAAACAUACCCAUCUAGUCUGCUAAUAAACAAAGGUGAGGCUCUGGAUAGCUGAGCCUGAAUCUACUGAAAUACGGUCAACAAAGGAGUAAGCAAUUAAACGAAAAUCAUCAUUUCCCAUUUGCUUAGAGAUUAAUAGAUUCACUUAGCAUUAUCAAAGGUUUUUGCCACAUUGCCUUCCCAGCUGACACUGAAUAAAUACUACCCUUUUUGACUUGAUUUUCUGUUCUUGCAGUCUCAGUGAAUAAAUUUACUCAUCCAGAAAAUUAAAGCCUGUGAGUAUCAUUUAGGAGGAUGCAAUGAUUUUUGCCUGUGUACCAGCCAUACAAAUUUCACUAUUUCUGGGACACAAUGUAAUCAGAAAUACCCCACAGAAGGCAUCAACUUAAUAACCUACUCAAAAUUCAGGCAUUAAGGUGCAGUUUUGUGGUGCACCGAAAUGAAGUUUUUACUCCAAAAUGUGCAUACCUAGGGAAACAAUAGUCUAGCUUUAAAUAUUCUCUUGCCUAGUGAAACUGUAAAGCUUAAAAGUUCUUUUAAAGCAAGGAAAAACUUCAAGAAAUUCAACUUAGCCCUAUUUAGCAAUUCUCAGAGGUAAAAAUUUUCAGGGUUGCUUGUAACAGACAGAAGGGAGAAGAAUCUAUUACCUACUAUACUCCUGGAAUUAAGAAACCUCUGCAUGAAGUGAGAAUUGGUGAAAAGGAUUUCAAACAUCUUGUCUGCAGUGAUGUGGAAAACUCUGUUUAUAAAAAGUCUCCCAUAGAGAUCAUUGUCAGAGACAGUCUCCUUCACUGCUAAGAAAGACAGAGAUCAGGUUAAGAACAGUAUUAUGCAUAACCUUGAUAGCAUUCUAGGCUUUAUUACAGCUUAAAUCUUUCCCAAGCUUGCACCAGCAUUUGUUUCUUGCUCUCAGAAACCCAGUAAGGAUAGCAGCAAAUUAUUUGGUAGGUAGGUUGCCUUCAGGAAAAAAGUCCAAAACUGAUUUUCAAAAACACACCGCUACCACCACUUCCCUGUGCAAAUUGAUAAAUUAACACCAAAAGGUACCAUCCCUUUAAUUUUGCCUUCAGUAUUCUACUAAUCCUGCAAGAAACAUCGGUGAAAGAAAGUUAGCAUACUUUUCAUUAAUAUGUGUGUCUAUCGUACAAAAGACGAGAGAAGGACAUAAAACCAUAACAGUUUUCUUCUUAUGGAUGAUUUCAGAAUUCUGCUUUUAACAGUUGUAAUAUUGAUAAUGCCCACAGUCUAAGGAAUCAGAUAGACUCCCAAACAGUAUUUCCCUCAACACCCAUUGAACAGGAACAAAAGGGAUAUCCCACUCAAUGUUGCAGCUCCCAAAAAAGCACGGAGAGGCUCAAAUGCCAUCAUCUAUUUCAAAGCCACCGACCACCCCAGCAGCAUUCUGUGGCUGCAGCAUUGAUCUUUGCUAUUUCUGCUUCUUGGUGGUUGCUGGCAUGACUCAGCUUUGUGGUUUUCUCAGCCAUGCUUACAAGAGAUAAGGGAUAGAACUAUAAUCCUGAAGGGCAAGCAGUUUCCUGUGCCAAUCCCGACUCAAUCUACUUAUGCUUUAGAAAAAAGUCAAUCCUAAACUAUAAUUACCAGCAAGACAAACAAGCCCCCCUCAGCACCACACAUCAUUAAAAUUAAACAAGCAGCCCAAAAGCAAAUCUUGCAGCAGACAGACACAAGUCAGGAUGGCCAACCUUUCCACUGAUACAAAUGAAUGCUCAGGGCUAGGAAAGGUCAGUGCCAGCCAUGAAUGCAAAGGGAGCCUGAAUAUCACACUGUAGUUCACAAGCUGCCUGCAGGCUAAGGUUACAGCACUUAAAACAUUACUGGCUUGGUAGCAGUCAGUAUUGAAAAGGCAAAUGCACCAACUGAACAACCACAGCAGUCCCCAGGGAAACUCAGUUCUGACUGAGAAGACUCCCUCUCUAGUGAUACUCCUAGACUGCUAGAACAUCUGCCUCCACAAAAGUUCUCCUUGAUCCCAUCAGGCUUCAAAGUAGGACCCCAAAAGUGAAGCAUGAGUGCUGUAUUUUUGUGCUUGCACAGGAGGUUGACUUCCUCUCCAUGCCGUGUUCUGCUUAUGCAAUUGUAAUUCCACACAGUUAUGAGAUGGGACAGAAAGCAAACACACAUUUCAAGAGGCCUAUUUAACGAGUCAAUACGCAGUCAUUACACAUAGAAUAUGAAUUCUGCUGUGCUGAAACAUUCUGCAGGAAGCCAGAAAUUCUGCCUGAGUUUUCAACUUAUGCUCACUGUACUUUCUCUCAUAACUGAAUCUAACUCUAACAAAAGGUAGGCCAAGUGAACUGUAAGUCUGACCUAAUUUAACAAGACCUCAACAUUACAGAUCACUCCUUUCAGAGUGCACUCCCCACAUCCUCUCUUUUGCUAAGAGACAGGAAGUUUCAGAUUCUGAUGCUGACAUCCUCUCUGCCUACUGUGCAUCAGCUAGCAUAUCAUCAGCUACCAGGCAAUUCAAACCUAGUUAUUGUGGUUGAGUGUUACUCAGCUGGACGUUGACAUGCCCAAGGAAUCUGCUACCACUUAAAAAAAAAUACAGACACAUGAUCGAGCCACCAGAUAAGCAUCAGAUCAGCUUUGUCAGCUAUUUGUAUGUCUUACCAAACACAAGAUAACACAAGGUACCUCUGCCCCAGUCAGCCUGAGCAAAACAA